GACGAACGCUGGCGGCGUGCUUAACACAUGCCAGUCGAACGGAAGGGCCCUGCUUGCAGGGUACUCGAGUGGCGAACGGGUGAGUAACACGUGGGUGAUCUGCCCUGCACUUCGGGAUAAGCCUGGGAAACUGGGUCUAAUACCGGAUAGGAGCCAUUUUUAGUGUGAUGGUUGGAAAGUUUUUUCGGUGUAGGAUGAGCUCGCGGCCUAUCAGCUUGUUGGUGGGGUAAUGGCCUACCAAGGCGGCGACGGGUAGCCGGCCUGAGAGGGUGGACGGCCACAUUGGGACUGAGAUACGGCCCAGACUCCUACGGGAGGCAGCAGUGGGGAAUAUUGCACAAUGGGCGCAAGCCUGAUGCAGCGACGCCGCGUGGGGGAUGACGGCCUUCGGGUUGUAAACUCCUUUCGCUAGGGACGAAGCUUUUUGUGACGGUACCUAGAUAAGAAGCACCGGCUAACUACGUG
rnacentral:rRNA from 1 species